AAGAUGCCUUGUUUAUUUUCUUCGCACAAGACCUUUCCCCAGAAGGGUCUCUCUGUAGCCCAGCUCUGCGUUCAGGCGGAGCACAGAGGACUUUUAGGAUGGUGAAGCUACCCAGUGAGAGACUACAAUGAGAUAAUUGGUCUUUCACAUUCCUCGUGCUGUCACCAAAAAUAACAGAGCAACAGCAGGGUGGAGGAAGAGCACCAGCACGGUGGAGG